CGCCGCCAUCGGGGAGCCGCUCCCGCCGCACAGUGACGGCGGGGCCGGGCCGGGGCCGCCGCCAUCGGGGAGCCGCUCCCGCCGCACAGUGACGGCGGGGCCGGGCCGGGGCCGCCGCCAUCGGGGAGCCGCUCCCGCCGCACAGUGACGGCGGGGCCGGGCCGGGGCCGCCGCCAUCGGGGAGCCGCUCCCGCGCCGCCCGCAGCCCGCCGUGGGCUGGCCGGACAGCCCCGGCCCCAGGGAAGGGCCGUGCUAACAGCAGGGGCUUUUCCUGGACUUCUGUGCAGUCUCAGUUGAAGGAGAACCCCCGCUGAACUGUCGCUCGUUCAUCCCGAACACGCUUCGCCACUCUGUGUGUGCUCUGUGCUCACCGGCCCCCGCCGCGCCCUCCGAGCGUUCUGUAGUGUCACCGGGGGUGGGGCAGCAGAACUGGGGUCUCCGGCAAGACACGGAAAGCCAGGAGAAAGCUGUGAGUCCAGGCAAAGUAACUACGGCAAGGGUAAGGCAGUGCCUCAAGAGCUGAGCUGAACCGCGGGACAGGUGGUGGCUGGUGGGUAUCCUGGAGAGUGGCAUCCCACUACUGCUCAUGGCCACAGAUGUUUGCAGGGCUGUUCACAACACAAACACUAAGGUUUGCGAGGCAGACCUAGGGAUUACUUACAUGUGAUCCUGAAGUUUUAAAGGUUUUCUUUCCGGUUUCAUUUUAAAACACUAUUAAAACUCUGAAAGCGGCA